AGCGAACGCUGGCGGCGUGCCUAACACAUGCAAGUCGAACGUGAAAAGGGAAACCUGAGUAAAGUGGCGUACGGGUGAGUAACGCGUAGGUAAUCUACCCCAGAAUCUGGAAUAACCUGCCGAAAGGCGGGCUAAUACUGGAUAGAGCGAGGGAACUCGUAAGAGAGUUUUUCGGGAAAGGGAGCCCGCAAGGGCCUUCGUUCUGGGAUGAGCCUGCGUCUCAUUAGCUAGUUGGUAAGGUAACGGCUUACCAAGGCGAUGAUGAGUAGCUGGUCUGAGGGGAUGAUCAGCCAAACUGGGACUGAAACACGGUCCAGACUCCUACGGGAGGCAGCAGUGGGGAAUCUUGCGCAAUGGACGAAAGUCUGACGCAGCCACGCCGCGUGAGUGAAGAAGGCCUUCGGGUUGUAAAGCUCUGUCGGAUGGGACGAACAUCUUCAUAGUGAAUAGCUAUGAGGACUGACGGUACCAUCAAAGGAAGCACCGGCUAACUCCGUG
rnacentral:rRNA from 1 species